GUAAUGAAAAAGGAUUGGAUCAUAAUUUCUCAACACCUAGAACACCUCAACAAAAUGGGGUUGUAGAAAGAAAAAAUUGAAUCUUGAAAGAAAUGGCCUGAACCAUGCUUUGUGAAACCAAUAUACCAAAGUACUUUUGGGCAGAAGCUGUCAACAUAGCAGCUUACAUCCUCAAUAAAGUCUUAAUAAGGGCCAUGAUAUCAAAAACCCCAUAUGAACUAUACAAAGGUAGAAAACCAAACAUCUCUCACCUUAGAAGCUUUGGCUGUAAAUGCUUUGUGUUAAACAAUGGAAAACAUCCUCUAGGAAAGUUUGAUGCUAAGAGUGAUGAGGCUAUAUUUCUAGGAUAUGCAUUGAACUUAAAAGCUUAUGGAGUCUUUAACAAAAGAUCUUUAAUCAUUGAGGAGUCUAUCGAUGUAGUUUUUGAUGAAUCCAAUGCCUUGCAAAGGAAAUUCCUGCUGAUGAAGAUGAUACGGCUGACCUUAAAAGACAAAUGGAAGAAAUGAUCCUAGAUAACAAGAAAAACAGUGAAGAAAAUUUCCCAAGAAGAGAAAUAGAACCUUCACCCUUAGAAACCUUGCAAAGGACUGAAAAUCUACAUAAUGAUCUUUCAAAGAGCUGGAGGUAUAUCACGGAUCAUCCACAAGAACAAAUCAUAGGUGAUCUUUCUCAAGGAGUUAGAACUAGGAGAGGAACUAGAGAAACAUGUGAAUUCACAACUUUCAUCUCACAAAUUGAGCUUAAAAGCUUUGAGAAGGUAAAAAAAGUAGAAAGCUGAAUUUUGGCCAUGCAAGAAUAGCUUGAAAAUUUGAGAGAAACCAAGUAUGGACACUAGUUUCUAGGCCAUUAAAUCAUCCCAUUGUAGGCACAAAAUGGGUGUUUAGAAAUAAGGUAGAUGAGCAAGGAAAUGUUAUUAGGAAUAAAGUUAGGCUAGUGGCUCAAGGGUAUAAUUAAGAGGAAGGCAUUGACUAUGAUGAAACAUUUGCACCUAUUCCUAAGAUAAAAGCCAUUAGAUUAUUGCUUGCAUUUGCAUGUUUCAUGAACUUCAAAUUAUUCCAAAUGGAUGUAAAAAGUGCAUUUUUAAAUGGCUUCAUUCAGGAAGAAGUCUAUGUUGAACAACCCCCGGAUUUGAGGACUUUGAAAAACCAGAUUAUGUCUUCAAACUUCAGAAGGCCUUGUAUGGAUUAAAACAAGCUCUAAGAGCUUGGUAUGAGAGACUCUCUAGGUUUUUAGUUGAGAAAAGAUAGAGUAGAGGAAGGAUUGACACAACAUUAUUUAUUAAGAAAUGCAUGAAUGAUUUAAUUGUUGUUCAAAUUUAUGUGAAUGAUAUUAUAUUUGGUGCUACUAAUGAGAAUUUGUGCUAGAACAUUGCUAAGGAAAUGCAGGGUGAAUUUGAAAUGAGCAUGAUGGGCAAAUUGAAAUUCUUUCUUGGCCUCCAAAUCAAGCAAUGCAAGGAUGGCAUCUUUUUAAACCAAGAAAGAUACAUUCAAGACAUGCUGAAAAGGUUUGAUAUACUGAAGCUAAAGUCAAUAAGCACUCCAAUGAGUCUCUUUACCAAGCUUGAUAAAGAUGAAAAAGGGAAGAACGUUGAUCAAAAGCUUUAUAGAGUUUUGUAGGAAAUUUGAUGAAAAAGGCUCAUUCGAUGAACAUCAAUGCAAUUCAGAUCAGAUCAGGGUGAAAGUCAUAUUCGAAGUUGAUAAACCGUCGCAACACUAGAAGAAUAAGGCUGCAGUGCUGGUGAAAGGAAGCCCACCAUACAAUUUUCCCAAGAACUCAGCACUGCAGCAUUGCAGUACUACUGUGGCAAGAAUCCAACACCUCAGCUCCAAGAAAUCAAGGUCGCGACGCUGGGUGAUUUUCCAAAAAUAAAAAUUUCACUGGAUUUUGGAAAUUAGGUUACUUGGAGCCUAUUUAAGGAACCUUUUUUCACAGGUUUUAAGGGGUAAGGCAACAAACAACUACUCUGGAGAUUUGAAGCCAAGAACAAAGCAAGAAAAGAAGAGAAUUAAAGGGAGAAUCAAGAUCACAAAGCUCCAACUAUUAGUUUUCUCU
rnacentral:sRNA from 10 species